GGUGCCGGUUGGGCCGCAUGUGCCGCUGCGGGAAGGUCUCCCGGCACUGCGGACACGACACGUUGGUCUCCGCCGCGCCCCAGCAGCGGCCCGGAAUGUGCACAGGAUGGUUGGAACUUGGGCAGCUGCCCUGGACCAUGAAGCAGUCUUGAGCGCCGGGAGCCAAUUAGCGUGGUGUAGUGAAAGAGAGAGAUCACAGUAGACAGAGGCAGGCAG